UACGUAGGGGGCUAGCGUUGUCCGGAAUCAUUGGGCGUAAAGCGCGUGUAGGCGGUCCGGUAAGUCCGCUGUGAAAGUCGAGGGCUCAACCCUCGAAUGCCGGUGGAUACUGUCGGGCUUGAGUACGGGAGAGGCGAGUGGAAUUCCUGGUGUAGCGGUGAAAUGCGCAGAUAUCAGGAAGAACACCCGUGGCGAAGGCGGUUCUCUGGGACGGUACUGACGCUGAGACGCGAAAGCGUGGGGAGCAAACAGG
rnacentral:rRNA from 1 species